rnacentral:lncRNA from 1 species
GACUUUCUACAAGGGUGGUCUGUUGCUAGAAGGAUUACCAGGGAGCACCACGUGGACGCCUUUGCACCAGACAGGUACACGUUGCAGAAAAAGGUACGCAUCGGACAUCGCUCUUAGUGUGGAAGCUGCUGGACGGCCUCAAACGACGCUCUGCUCCGCUUUCAGAAGCAUAAGGGAUGACGUCAGGGACUAUCCGCCAGCGCGAUGUUCCCAUGGACACCUGCUGGAGCGUUCCUGUUCUGUCCGCGCUAAUGACUCUCCUGGUCUGCAUGCCAUCAUCAUACAUGGGCCUGGUGUUCGUCUUCGUUGUCGAGGACUAUGGCGUGAGCCGUGCUCGAGCAUCGUGGCCACAAAACGCACUAUUCGUUUCGGUGCACCU